AGUGAACGCUGGCGGUAGGCCUAACACAUGCAAGUCGAACGGCAGCACAGUAAGAGCUUGCUCUUAUGGGUGGCGAGAGGCGGACGGGAGAGGAAUACAUCGGAAUCUACUUUUUCGUGGGGGAUCACGUAGGGAAACUUACGCUCAUAUCGCAUAUGAUCUACGGGUGUAAGCAGGGGAUAUUCGGACCUUGCGCGAUUGAAUGCGCCGAUGUCGGAUUAGCUAGUUGGCGGGGUAAAGGCCAACCAAGGCGACGAUCCGUAGCUGGUCUGAGAGGAUGAUCAGCCACACUGGAACUGAGACACGGUCCAGACUCCUACGGGAGGCAGCAGUGGGGAAUAUUGGACAAUGGGCGCAAGCCUGAUCCAGCCAUACCGCGUGGGUGAAGAAGGCCUUCGGGUUGUAAAGCCCUUUUGUUGGGAAAGAAAAGCAGCAGGUUAAUACCCCGCUGUUCUGACGGUACCCAAAGAAUAAGCACCGGCUAACUUCGUG
rnacentral:rRNA from 1 species